UACGAAGGGGGCUAGCGUUGCUCGGAAUCACUGGGCGUAAAGCGCACGUAGGCGGAUUGCUAAGUCAGGGGUGAAAUCCUGGAGCUCAACUCCAGAACUGCCUUUGAUACUGGCGAUCUCGAGUUCCGGGAGAGGUGAGUGGAACUGCGAGUGUAGAGGUGAAAUUCGUAGAUAUUCGCAAGAACACCAGUGGCGAAGGCGGCUCACUGGCCCGGUACUGACGCUGAGGUGCGAAAGCGUGGGGAGCAAACAGG
rnacentral:rRNA from 1 species